rnacentral:lncRNA from 1 species
ACCAUAUUCCAAGGAAGAAAUUACAAAGAAGAGAAAAACUACUUUCAAAACUUCAGAAUGACAUAAUUUGAGAGCUGGAAUGGACCUCGGUGGCUAUCUACUGCAACCUAUACUUGAAGAAAUCUCCACUAUAACUUAUUUGGGUUUGUCUCCAGGAAGAAUUCUUUCAUGAAGAGGAUAACAUUAAUUCCACCUGCAGACUGUUCCAUAUUCUUGUCAUUUGAGGCAUCUUUCCAGGAUCAGCUAUCUGAUGUGAUCAAGGAUUGAAAUUCAAGUGGACACUUUGCCAGAUUCCUUACAUUCAUGAGGUUUCUCUCUAAUACUCGAGGUCAACCUCAAAUUCCAAAGGAAGAAGGAAGGCAGGAAGGGGGCUGCCACAAGAUGAGGGAGGAGGUGCACCAUUCAAGGACACUUGAAGGCCAGGGAGAGACCCUGAUAUCCAAGCAGAUUUGAAUGGAAGACAGACAAGCAGGUCAGCAGGGUGGUGGAGUAGAGCAAAAGUCUCCUUUCUCUGUGUCAGAGCCCAGCACCAUAACUUUCCAUGUAGUAGAUCUGCUUUGACUUCGAGGGUUCUUUUCUGUAGGAAUAUUUUUUAUGGGUGAUUGGAAGACUAAGAAGCCCCAAGCAGAAGGGUGAGACUGGGGAAAGAAAGCAUAAUACUAGACAUUAAAGUUAUCCUAGGAGUUAAAAAGUUAAAGUCACCAAUGCCAUGAUCUAGGACAAUCCUAAAAGACUUAUGACAGGGAAUACUGUCCACCUCCAGAGAAAGAACUGUUGGAGUCCUCUUCCAUGUCAGUGUAUCUUUGGUUUUAUUUUGGGGUUUGGGUUAGGUAUGACUUUGCUCUUUGUAUAAAUGGAGGUUUUUGAACCUUUGACUUCAUUCCCCAGAAGUCCUUAGUAUUUCCCAAAAUUCCCUAUAAUCUCUCCUUCAUCUCCAUGUUGGCAGGAUCAUGUUACUGGUAUUUAACUGGCAGUAACUCCUCCCACGUCCUCUUUUUUGCAUGAUACAGGAAUCAGCAGUGAUGGUGGUAAGUGGGUAUGGCUGAAAAUGGCUAACCAGCCAUGGGCAUGUGGUUUUUAUUUUGUAUCCUCUUUAUUCUUUGAUUUCUAAUGAUCAUCUAAACCUCAUAAAAUAUAAUAUUUUUAUUAUUAGAGAUUAAAUUUUAAAUUUUUACAUCUUACAACAAGGACCAAUAUGGAAGUGUGUUUUGCAUUACAAUAAAAAUGGAAAAAAAGUUAAAGUGAGAACUGUC